UAAAUAAGUAAAACUGAUAUGCCACGCUCAUCAUGAUGAUGAGUGCUGUAUGGCUAUCAAGACAUAUGGCUGACAUAAUUUUUAUGAAUCAAUAGGGUUGGCUCGUUCAGUUGACCCUCAUGUAA
rnacentral:snRNA from 2 species